CGGGUGAGUAAUACAUAAGUAACCUGCCCUAGACAGGGGGAUAACUAUUGGAAACGAUAGCUAAGACCGCAUAGGUACGGACACUGCAUGGUGACCGUAUUAAAAGUGCCUCAAAGCACUGGUAGAGGAUGGACUUAUGGCGCAUUAGCUGGUUGGCGGGGUAACGGCCCACCAAGGCGACGAUGCGUAGCCGACCUGAGAGGGUGACCGGCCACACUGGGACUGAGACACGGCCCAG
rnacentral:rRNA from 1 species